AGAAGCAUUUACGCACAGGUCCUACACUCAGCUGGGGCGGAAACAAUCUGCGGCUGCAGGUUUGCCACCGGCGGCAAAAAAGGGGACACACGCAGCGAAGUUCAAACAAAGUGUCCGUGAGUUUCUGUUGGGAAAGCAUCAAGAUCUGCGGCAAACUGUGCAGGAUUGCCUUCAUCUCCAAAAUCCGGGUUGCAGUCGGUGAUUGGCAGGAGGAGGAGAGUCUGACGGAGGAGCAGAGGAAUGUUGGCAGCCAUUUAGUCUGAGCUCAACAACGGAGAAACAUGGAUUCUUCACAAAAAAAAUGUAAACACAGCAAUGGAGUGAGAUGUGGGACCUCUGAGGAGGAUAAGGAUGGUUCAGCAACAACGGCAAAAAGAGAUGAAUCACUGAGUUGUGAGCAAUGUGACAAGACUUUUAUUACAGCAACAAAGCUAAGAAUUCACAAACAUAUUCACACUGUGGACAAACCAUUCAGCUGUGAUCAGUGUGGAAAGGCUUUUACUCGGAAGAGUCAGUUAAAAAGACAUCAGCUCAUUCACAGUGGAGUGAAAUUGUUCAGUUGUAAUCAGUGUGGUAAGGCUUUUACUCGGAAGACUCGUUUAAAAAGCCAUCAAC